AUUGAACGCUGGCGGCAGGCCUAAUACAUGCAAGUCGAGCGGAUGAAGGGAGCUUGCUCUUGGUUCAAGCGGCGGACGGGUGAGUAAUGCCUAGAAUUCUGCCUGGUAGUGGGGGAUAACGUCGGGAAACGGGCGCUAAUACCGAUUACGACUUGAGGGAGAAAGUGGGGGUUCUUCGGACCUCAAGUUAUCAGUGCAGCCUAGGUAGGAUUAGCUAGUUGGUGGGUUAAUGGCCUACCAAGGCGACGAUCCGUAACUGGUCUGAGAGGAUGAUCAGUCACACUGGAACUGAGACACGGUCCAGACUCCUACGGGAGGCAGCAGUGGGGAAUAUUGGACAAUGGGCGAAAGCCUGAUCCAGCCAUGCCGCGUGGGUGAAGAAGGUCUUCGGAUUGUAAAGCACUUUAAGUUGGGAGGAAGGGCAGUAAGUUAAUACCUUGCUGUUUUGACGUUACCAACAGAAUAAGCACCGGCUAACUUCGUG
rnacentral:rRNA from 1 species